AAUGCGCGUUUAUUUGACGAUUUACGGCCGUCGCCUGCUAAAGUCCCGGAUGUAAAUCUAAACACACAACAGUCUUCAUGCUGAAGCUCCAGGAAGGCUGAAGUUUUUUCUCCUGACUUUCUGGCUGCGCUCCUCGGCAUGUCUUUCUCCUCCUCCUUCGGCUCGCAGCUCGCAGCCAUCCUGGACGUUCUGGUCAAAGCCGCGGUAGCAGAAAUCACGAAGCUGGUGGACGACGAGAGCGUCUCUCUGCAGCUGAAAGUGUGUCAGAGGGACGCUGAGAUCCAAAAGCUCCGCAGGAGUCUGGAGCUGAUGGAGGCUGAACUCUUCAAAGAAGCCUUCACGAUCCGAGAGAUGGAGGAGAGAGAGAGAAGGGGAGACAGGAGGAGUUACCAGCAGCCGAGAACCAGGUCCACCUGAGAGUUGCAGACAUAAAAGAAGAUGAGGACAGAAGCCCUGGAUAUCCUGAAUCCAAAACUGCUGAUUCACUCUGCGAGACCCCAAAUGAAACCAAUGAGAACUUCAGGCCGGCGGUGAAACAGGAGCCAGCGGAUGAGCUUAUCACCACAGAAACAACAGACAGCACAGUGACAGCGGACGUUAGCUUUGAAGCAGGAAAGCGAGAUGACUCAACACACCUUCUUCCUGCUUGUAGCAUGUUUGAGAACAUCUCUGUUGCCACGCAACAGCAAAUGCAGACUUUCCCCUCUCAUGCUGAGCGAUAUUCUGCUCACAGUAACACGGAAAGUUUGUGUAAUUCUUCAUCAACUGCAGCAGAGGAUGUCGAAGAUAACCACUUAAGCGUGCCAAAGGCAACAACAUUGUCCCAAGUGGUCGAAGGACCAAGCUUGUCAGGUGGCCUGCCGAAGAUAGCUGGAUUGAUACUUAAACCUAAAAUGUCUGACAUGGACUUUAAGAAGGAUUGUCAAAAAUAAACUAAUUUAGAACAGGACCAAAGCAUGCGUAUUGGGUUGCAAGGAGCUUGGGAGCAUCUACCACAAGUUUCAUCAAUUGUAUCUGGAAAUAGUGUUUGUUUGCAAUGAUGAAGUCUAUGGAGCACAACUGAAUGAGAGACAGCCAUGUUUAUCUGUCGUUCUGUAACGCUGAAAAAGCUGGCUUAUUUUCAGAUUGUUCAGUCUUUGUGAUCCAUCACUAAAACAAUAAUGUUGGAUUUAUUACUGGGAAUUCACACAGCUGUUCCUGAAAUAUUACAGACUACAAAAUAAAAGCCAAUGGCUCUACUGGACAUCCCAUUAAUUGUGAGAAACUAGACAGUUUAAUAGGUUUCUGGUGCCUAGAAAGACACAUAGACACUUGUUCCUGGAAAAUCAGGAAACUCCUAAGGAUGAAACAGUAACUGACAAAUAAAUGUAGUAUUUGAAAUGA